GUGUUUGUUUGGGGAGCAUAUACACUAAAAUUGGAACAAUGCAGAGAUUAGCAUGGCCCCUGAGCAAAGGACGACAUACAAAUUCAUAAAAUGUUCCAGAUAUAU
ensembl:snRNA U6 U6 spliceosomal RNA